GCAAGCGGCCGGGGCUGCGCAGUCAGGGCGCUGGACUCGGGCUCCCCCUCCCCCACGGACGCAGCAGAGACAGUGGCCCCACGUGGAAAAACACCCCGGCUGGCGUGAGCCGCUGCUCGCGCCGGAAGCAAUCCGGUUUCCUCUGCAGGGGGCCGGGGCUCCAGCCGACCGCAGUUUACAGCACUCGGGCCAGAACACUGAAGUGCCACAGUGGGGUCUGGGGUCCCAGGUUGAGCCCCAAACCCCGACCGACGUCAGGGAGACAGUGGACAGGCUUCCGUCCCCCGCUGUGGCCGCGGGCUGCCGCUCCUGCCUGCGUCCCGCGCUCUCGCCCCCCGGUUCCUCCCUGCCCCUUGGAGCCAAGAGUCGCCUGCCAACCUGGUCAGAGAGCUGACCCUGGCUCUGGGUCACCGUCUGUGUCUGUGCUUCCAGCUCCAGAAAUAAUAUACAGUAGUCUGCAGUGCCUUCUUAUUAUCUGCCUUUUGAAGUGGGUGUUUUUGCACUUUAAAAAGCCUUCUUACACAUGCAGUAAAGCCCCCUCUGCAGCGCUCAGCCCUGCAGGUCUCCUUAACGUCACGUGAACGGACCUGUACAGCCCUUGGGGUCCGGAGUCUUUCCUGCAGACAAGGCGCUGGGGGCUCAUGCCCACCGGGAGGCACCUCGUGGACGGACCGCAGGGGCCAGCGCCGCGCCAGCCGGAUGACACCUAUUUUGUUUCCGGUUUGGGGCGACCGUAAAUAAAGCUGUUGUAAAGGUUCAUGCA